rnacentral:rRNA from 1 species
UACGGAGGGUGCGAGCGUUGUCCGGAAUCAUUGGGCGUAAAGGGCGCGUAGGUGGCCCGGUCAGUUCGUGGUGAAAGCGCGGGGCUCAACCCUGCGUCGGCCAUGAAUACUGCCGCGGCUGGAGCACUGUAGAGGCAGGCGGAAUUCCGGGUGUAGCGGUGGAAUGCGUAGAUAUCGGGAGGAACACCAGUGGCGAAGGCGACUUCCUGGCCUGUUCUUGACGCUGAGGCGCGAAAGCUAGGGUAGCAAACGGG